CCGCCUGGCCCCGGCCUCGGCCCUCGGCCCCCACCUUGCGGCGGGGAGCGGGAGCGGCUCGGGGUUGCCUUUGGUCGUCGUGCUCCGCUUCCAGCUGGCGAGCAUCGUCUCCCGCAGUCUCCCGCUCAGUUGGCGUGUGGCAUUGCCACCAAGGAGAUGGAUAGGAGAGUGUAGGGCUGUGCAGCUGGGUGGAAACGGGCUUGUCUGAAACAGGUCGGUGUCGAUGUUUACUGUGCAUUCUAUCUGGAGUAAAGACCAGCGCCCUGUCUUGUUUCAAUUUCUGACCUGUUAGAAAUGCCAGGUUCACAAUGCCCCGUGCACAGGCAGUACAAAGCAGCUCCUGGCUCCUCGGUUCUGGAGGGAACUUCUCCAGUUGUGGGACCCCGGGGUGAAUGCCUCUCUGCCUGGUGCAUCAUCUGGGUUUGAUGAGUCCAGUCCACAUUUGGCCUUAAUAUGAAGGGUGCAUAAAAUCAUAGAGCCAGUUAAGUUGGAAGGGACCCUUAUAUGUCAUCUAGACCAACUCUCCUGCAAUGGACAGGAAUAGAAUCAUAGAAUCGCUUGAGAUGGGAGGGAAACUGGAUGUCUUGCUAGAAGUGCAUGGAGGACGGCUGCUGACCUGACCCUUGUUUGCAUUUCAUGCAGCAGCUGCAGCAGAACUGGCACAUUAACCAUUUCCAUGUCACAAUUUCCUGUGCAAUGAAGCAUCCUCAGCCGUAUAUGAUUGUGAGUGGGAGGGGAAGAGCCUCUGAGGUCAGUGUUUAUUGCAGUGGUGUUGAGAAACCGAAGCAAAACUCUGUAAGGAAGAAGAUCCCAGGAUGACGCCUCACCUCAAAUGGGAAGAGCAGGGGUUUAGGAGACUGCUGUGUUUCCUUCUGCCAUCGGUGCAGUCUGCGAGUAUUAUUCAUUAAGAUUAUCUGCAAUCUUAUUUAUUAAGCGUCCUUCACAUUUCCCACUCUAAAGCAGAGAUGAUGGCACUAUUUUGCGAGACUGCGGCGUGACUCAAUGAGGUACGGUUUGCAUUGUGCUGUAGGGUUCAGCAGGAGCUCAUCCUCAUGUGGCUCAGAGGAAUGCAAAGCAGCUGCUUCUCUGGGCGUGCAGCAGCUGCAGCAGCUGUGCCUCACUGAGCCCUCUGCAAACCUGGUCUACACCAACUGGUACCUGGGCAUGGUCUGCAGCCUGUGCUCCCACCACAUUCACACGUACCCCCCGUCUCUGACCUGGAAUUCUGCUGCCUUUCCACACACAAUAAUAUCAUUCAACAUGCUAGGCCGUGGGCUUUUGAAGGUCAGUGCCAUCAAUAUGUGGAAAGCGGUAGAGGACAACAACAGGUUGAUAAGUCAUGUGGCCAAUUAAGGAAAAGGCCCUCAAGGGCUGUAAAAUGUAUCAGAUCCACUUAUCGCAACCCUUUCUGAUAGUUUCUGCAAAUCCCUGGUAGUAAACAUCCUGCUGCUGGUGGUGCCAAGGACGCUUCCCCAUUGUGCAAUAGUGGUGGCUGUCAGCCCCACUGCUUCUGGCACAGCCUGGCUUCUCUGCUUUCUAUCCACAGGAAGAGCUGGAACUCACUCUGCUGAGCUCAGUCAUCUCUCCCAUAUUCCACGCUCAGGAGACACAGCUGAGGGCCUGGUGAGAAAACCGUGCUGGUCCUGAGCGGUGCAGGCACACCCAGCAUGGAGCACACCACUCUUCCUACCCGUCCAUCAGAUGGGACCGGCCUCCCCAGAGACUGGCGGCGAGCCUGGCUCCCUGUGCAGGGACACCUCUGGGACGUGGUUCCUCCAUCCCAAAAGAACAGCAGUGGACAAACCCCUCUGUCAGUGCUGGUCUCUGGCGGAGUCCAGGGCCACGCUGGUGGCUGGCGUUGGCCUGGUUGAAAGGAGCCAUCUUCUCACGGCCCACAGACUGCAAUAUGCCAAAGGGACAGCUUGACUCCUCCAGCCAGAAAACAAUUCCCCAAAAUGCUACACAGCAGACACUUGAGAUAUGCGGUGAGGAAGAAAUGGCCCAGUUAUCUUCAUCCUGUUAGCUCUGUUCCUGCCACACUGCGUCCAGUGACACUCGAAGAUAAAGAGCGAGUACCUUAUUAUCACCAUCAUGUCUGCCCUUGAGGUUUCAUUCUUUCACACCCUCCUGUCUUUGUUUCUUUCCCCCUUCCCUGAUUUUUUUCUGUGUUGUCUCCCUACUUCCUACCAUGCAAUUCCCACUUCCCAUAUGGGUCUCAUUCCUACUCUGUCCCCAUCCUGUCUGCUAAAAUAAUCAGCAGCGAGACCCUGAAAAUGGCCGUUCACAUUGUUUCCGUGGAACUGGGUGGCAAGGCUCCUGGUGCGAUGAAUGAAGGCAGGACGCGCUUCUCAGAGCCAUUGUUCCAAGCUGUCUGCCGACUCAGGAAAGCACAGCCUGCUUGGUUUACACUGAGGCCUUCGCUGGUGGGUUCUCUCCUCUGGCUGCUGUGAAUCAGGCCCUUAUAUUUUAAACAGUCACCACUGCGUUUGUGAGCUGGAGAAAGAGGCACAACCUCGAAGCACGUAUGUGACACUGUGGGUGGGGAAGAAGAAAUUCUUCCACAGCAUUUGUACAUGAUAAAUAUGGCAGCCAAAAGGCAAGUUCCCAAAUGCCUAGGGUCCACAUGUGCUAUGGAAGCAGCGUAGCAUCUUGGCAUGGAAAAGCAAUACUGGACAAAGGAGCCCAAAGUCUCUGCAGGUCACAGUGUCCCCAGUGGAGAUGAAAGCCCUGGGCUGCGAAGUGGUACCUAUCAGCUGCAUCUGCCACAGGACAGUGUGUUUUGCUUUGAAAGCGACCCCCCUCAAGGAAACAUGUGCUGGGUAUACAAAUGCAGCGUUUCGUUUAUUUAAGGCACAACUGCAAAACCAAACAGUUCUCAGUCACAGAUGUCUUUAACGAAAAACAGCUAUCGGAAUGCUCCUCGUACCGUAAGCAAUGAGUCCUCUCUGUCACGCUCGUAGGAGACGUAACAGUUUUGACGGAUCAACCUAUUAAUCACUUGGCCUCCUAAUGGUUCAUCUGAAGGCGGUCCUUACGAAUGUGCUAGCAUGUUGUGCCAACAGCUCGCCAAGUGAUACACGCACAGAUGUCCCAUGUUCUGCUCCUCCGAGGUCCUGCAAUGACAGGCUCUCCUCUGAGAUACUAACGAAGACUUCAUUCAUCCCACCCUGCUUCCGCUCGUUCGGUCUUUAGUCACUUACCAACUUGUUCCUGUGGCUGCAAAACAUUCACAGCACUAAGAAGAUGUCAGUUCCUGACCCCAUACUACGGCCCCGGCAGCCCGGAUGACUGGCUGGGGUGACGCAUCUCCCCAAGGUGCUGUCAGUGGGAGAUGUUCACGUACACUUCUGUGACAAGCCGUAAGGUUUGCUUGUGUUCACUGGCUCCCCUCAUCGCUUGGAGGAAAUCUGCCUGUGCUCUGCAGCUCCAGCCCUGAGAGCCUUCGUGCUAAGGCUUAAAACUGGUGUGCAAUGAGACCGACAAAGGCACCUGGCUUUUCUUUUUGAAUUCUUUUCUUAAAAAAAACAAACCCAAAAGCUCAGCCAAAAGCAUGCACAGCACUAAACUGCAACAUGUAAACUCAUUACUUCUCUAUAUUUUUGGAAAUUCUUUCAGGCUUAAUCAUUGCCAUUGUCAUUGGAGAGCCAGGAAAGACAGCUACAUCUGGAUUUUCCUCUCCGUAAACUUCAGCUUCAGGAGUAAACACGUGUUUUAUGACGGGGACUGGCACACGACAUGGAGUUGCAGCCAAGGGAAGCUUUAGUUCUGCCCACCUGUUCCUGCAAUGCGGACCCCAGUGCACAGCUCCUCUCUCCCUCCCCCUACUAUGUUUCAACCAAAGAGACAACAUCUAACCUUACUGCAACCCUGUCACAUGCUCUAUACACGUUCCCUGGGGUCUCUGUCCCAAAGCAACAGAAGCACUUGUGCCCAUCAGUGUCACCAGGAAAGCUCUGUGCCUGCCCUUGAGAAAGCUGAGACUCACCGUCCGCAAGUAUGGAUGUGUGUGUGUGUUGGUGUGCCAACAGAUAGGAACUGAUUUAUGGAAGAGAAACAGGAAGGAUGAUGGGAGAACAUCUGUAAAACUCCAAGGUUUGGUACAUAGCACUGCUGCUUGGCCUGCUUGUUGUCAAAGGUGAAAGUUUAAGAAUGAAGCAUCCUCGCCCCCCUGUGCUGCAUGAGAAAAGCCAGUGUCACAGGCCUGCAGAAGGCAGUUGUUUGUGUGCAAGGUUCCUGUUUGUUACUCAUUUCCCCUCCCUGUCCCAACACUCUGACUCUUUAAAGCUCUUCCAAGAUUCCUUAUAGGAGGUUUGUUGCCAGCUCAGAGUUUCCUGUUGUACUCAAAGACUCUUAUCUCUGCAAUCUUCAUGCACAUAGCAAGGAGAUUUGUUUUUAUUCAUUUAUUUAUUUUACAACCCAGACCAUUUCUGUGGACUAGCUGGUUUCUCUGUUGCUGACUUAGGUGGUGCAUUUUCUUGGAAAAUUCAACUCCAAUGCUAAAAAAAGAUAUUUUUGCUUUGUCUGUCCCGCGGCGUGAGGAUCCCCGUGUCACAAGGGUGUGCUGGAGCUUCUCCAGCUGCAGCCCAGGCAGCUGGCAGCAGUGGGGUCAGAGUGCUGGCUGUGGCUGCCAGCACGACUCUUGGCCAGAAGUCACCUUGAAUAACAGCACAGGGUCCCUGGCUCAGCCUUUAGGUGCUAAACGUAGAGUGAAGCAAGUGGUAACACUAGGAAACCUGGGUUUGGGUCCUACAAAAUGUCACACAGAUUUUGGCAUCUGCUAGCCAUCAAUCCUUUAGAGCAUCUGGACUGUAAAACAGUGGCCACUGUAUAAAGGGCCCAGCAGCAGACCUGGUUCUGAGGAACAAGCUGCUCGGGGUCCAGCAGUCCCAAACCUUGGCUCUGCCCUGUGACCAUGCCCCUGUGGCCAUCAGAUCUCUUUCACAGUGCAGGACAAAGGCUUGCAUCCGGCUGCUAUAUAAGCACUUGUGGCGAUGAAUAAAUAGUUGGGGACCUUCCCAGACACUUGGUCCAGAUUAGGAAAGGAUUUAUCAGCUAGAUUGUUUUAAAUAAGAAGAGCAGGUGAAGGCCUAACAUCCUGGGCCAUUUCUUCCUGCAGGCUGAUUCAGGCUGAGCUGGCCUUGCUCUCCACAUGAAUCAUUCCCUCGUGUUGUCCUUAUGUCUAGGAACAGGCAGGGCUGCCCCAGGGGCUGCACUCUGGGGAAAAGCUGCAGCUGCCCUGUGCUGCCAAGGGGGAUGUUUCUUCUCCCUUCCGUUCUUCCAGGGAAACUGGCAGAGGAUAAACCCCAGUGCACACCCAGAUGGUGAACGAGUGAUGACAACAGCACAAUGUUGUGCCAUCUUCUCAAGUGAGUUCUCAAAGCAAGAGAGCGCCAUGUAGCAGAGAAGCCCGAUCCAUCCUCCCUGCCUAUGGCAGCCACAGAGCAGCCCAGGGGGUGCCCGGCGCUGCCAGGACUUCCUUUGCCAGGGCUUCACAGGCAAACAUUAGCUUUAAGUGGCCAAUCCUUCCCUAAGGCAGCUGGCCAUUUUACAUCACAGCAAGACACUGUGGGCUCCUGGAUGGCACCGACCUCAUAACACAGCUUCACAUGCAGUGGGGAUCCAUUUUCCCAACAGACCCAUGAAUAUGGCAGAGGCAAAUUUUACCUUUCAUUUCUGAAUAGUUUUACUUUUCUAAUGAGGUUGUUUCAGUUGCCCUCACAAGAGACCUGUCAAGCCAAAUCUGGGCAGCCUGCGACUGCGGCAGUGUCAGAUGGAGAAGGAGCAGGUGGCCAUGCCCCUAAGCUCUUUUCUUCCCACAGUGUCAUCCUUGGAGAAUGGUUAGCAAUGCAGCAACCUUGCUUUUGGCAUCAGAAGGUGAUUUACUCACAAAUUAUUGAAAACUCAAGAUUAUUCCCAUUUCCCACACAGCAGCAAAUAAUAAACUAUUAAUAUUAUCCUGACCUGAAGACCUGUGUGGCUUGCCAAAGAUAAUUAUUCAGCUACUCUGAGCAGACCCCAUUAGGCAGCCUUUUGUGGCAUUCAUUUACUCCUGAGCCCCCAAAGACUCAUUAUGUGUGGUCUUGGGGAAGAUCUAGAAAACUCCUCAUCCCCACUGAGAGCACAUGACUGCAUUUUGUGGUGCCACGCCAGUUCUUCAGAGCACAAACACGGCUCAUCCACCAGAGCCCUCUGGCUUCAGUGCUGGAGCCAUUCCUCAGGGUCCUGCUGGAGAUGCUCCUUGGGGUGCUGCUAUCCUGGCUGCUCUGGGGGGAUGCACUUCAGGCACUUUAUUUGUCUACUGCCAUCCCUUCAUCUGAGGCAGUUUUCACUACUAGCAGCCAUCUCAUGCUGCCACUGUGCCAGCAUUACAAAUUUGCCAUGACUCCAUGCUAUUUCCCCAAGCACUGACAGUGGCGAAAGUAGGAGAGCAACGGACUUCUAGUCUUCCACUUCUGACCAGCAGCAAUACUUAGAUAACAAUCCUCGAUUCCACGUGUUCAUUUUGGUUCUGUGAUUUCGAGGCCAGGUCAGAGUGCAGGGGGAGAAGUGCCAGACAGUGUUUUAAACCAGUUAGCAAUGGUGUGAGGUGACACUGAAAAGUUCCUAAGUAACCGAAAGGUCUAAGUCUCCUUCUCAAAUGCUCUUCAGACAUUCAAAAACUGAAGUCAGGGGGACGGUGCUCUUGAAUGCCUAAAUCACUUGAACUGUGGACAGCAGCUCUUAAGUCCAGUCUGAUGCCUUACUCAAUUUCAGCCACUUAUAAAUGAGCCUUUUUCCUGGCUUUCCUCAGUGCCAACCGUGUGCAAGUGUUGGCAAGAUCUGCGUUAGCUUGUCUGGAGUCUGAACCACUUUGCUGAAUGCUUAAUCAAGCUGCUCGCCCCUCUCUCCCAACAGAGGCCAUUUAUACAGCGAGGGAAUCAGCUGGUCGAUGAAGCAGACAAGAGGAGUGAGGGAGAGGGAGCGAGCUCUUUGAAUGGGAUGAGAACAGAGCCACCGGCACCUCAAGAAAGUUUAUCUGCCUCCAGUGCCAAGCGCACACAGCGCUAAUCUUUUGUUGCCAUGAAUAUUCAAGCCCAGCUGCCAGCAACAGAGGGAGCAGCUGCAGUGGCAGAGCUGGCGGGUCCCCUCGUGGUGCCCUCGCUUGCCGACCCUGGCAUCUGGGGCUGCCUGGGGGUGGGGAGGGGGAGAUGCUGCCUGCGUGGCAGGCCAGAGCCAUUCAGCAGCUUGGCCCCACGCUCCCCGAGCAGCACGAAGCCAGAGAGACAAAUCGCCCAGCGCUGUGCUCCUUCACUGACCUGAGUGUGCCAGGUGCUCCAGAUGUUUGAGGUCAUUUGAAGACCUGCAGGGAAAGGACAAGGAAGAACAACAGCCGGGCAAUUUAAGUUUGAAGAACCCUUGCUGCUGCUGAGAGAAGCCAAAGUGAGGGAAGAGCCCGUGGGCCCCAUGAAAAGCUAGAUACAUGCAGCUGGAUGCAGAUCGCAGUUCUCAUGGUGUAUUUGGUGAUGGGAUGUAUUUGGCAGCAAGUAUGGCAGGCUGGGGACAUGCAAAAUCUGGCAGCAGGGGCUGCAGACAGGCUGGCAGGUGACCAUGCUGCUGCAGUGUCAUGGAAGAGCUGGAGGGCUUCUGGCACUCGAGGAGUCAGGAUGCAGUGAACAGAGGCCACGAGCUCUCCUUGGAUGGUCAACAUGCUCUUCUCUACAGCCUAUAGCAGCUAGAGCACUAUAACACAGACAGCUCUGCCUCCCGUGACACACUGGAACAGGCUGCCCAAGGAGGCUGUGGAUGCCCCAUCCCUGGAGGCAUUCAAGGCCAGGCUGAAUGUGGCUCUGGGCAGCCUGGUCUAGCAGUUGGCAACCCUGCACAUAGCAGGGGGGUUGAAACUAGGUGAUCAUUGUGGUUCUUUUCAACCCAGGCCAUCCUGUGAUUCUAUGAUUCUAUUAUAUGAUUCUAUGACAGGUCAAAGCAGAUAUCCAUGCUUCCAUAGCAUCAUCCUGCCCAACACCAAAGUCGUCAGAGGCAGAAAUGGCCCUGUCCUAGUGCAGAUCACUGGGACCUACCUUGUUUAGCAGUUUUGCCCGGUCAUAUACGGAAAUACUUCAUUGAGGGAGGAGGAGGGGGAGAAAUGGGGAAAAAGAAAAAAAGACUGAGGAAGGGGAAGGCAGGCUGCAAGGAGCUCCCAAGGCUCUGAUGUCUUCCAACCAAACCCAGCGUGUUCACUGCCGCAGAGCUGCAGACAGGGAAGAUGCCAGCGGCUUGUCUCUUUCGUGCACUGAAGAAGGUGAUUCCCAGAGCCCUUGCUAUGAUCAGCUGUCAACUACUGACAUUUAAAAAUAUUUACUUUGUUCUUCUGACUCUCAAAGCCCCUUAAGGAAAGCAGGGUCUCAGAGCAGCAAUAAGUUAGUGUUGCAAUACCAUCAUUACACCACCUCCUACCCAGGAGUGAGAGGUCCCUGCUCUCUGGAUCUCUUUGAUCCAGAUAAACAUGAAUGUAAUAGAACCUGCUCGAAUAACCUAAUUGCUGUCUAGUUGUAAUAUGUGUGAAUUUAUGGCAAACUUCUCAGAGCCCAGCCUCCUCACAGUCCACCCUCCAGGCAUGCAUCCCACUUGGUAGUUGAAUGGUCACAGAAUAUAGGUGCUUCCCAUGGAUUUACGGCAGUCUUUGUGAGUGAUAUUAAAAUGGAAAGAGUUUAUGGAUAAGAGGUUUACCCUCAGCAAAGCCAACACCUCCCACUGCUGCUGCUUUUUCACACCAAGAGAUCAAGAGUUUAAAAACUGAUUUCAGACUCCCAAGUUGUUACUGCCACAGUGGUAUAGCAGAAGGAAGGGUCGUGGUCACAAAAGGUAUCUUUGUUUUCUAGAAUUUAAAAUCACUUCUCAUAUGCCACCAUUGCUGUAUUUACUUCCCAAGUGGUCUUGAUGAGUUCUCAUCCAGGUGCUGUGAAAUGCUGGUCUGCGCCCUCAAACACAAUGACAAACUCAACAGGCGUGUGUGCACAGUGAUGCUCCCAUGCCACACGGACAUAGAAUAGUCCAAAUUAUAGAUUACAUAUAGGCCAAGAGUGACACAAGACUCCAGCAAAAUUGUUCAGGCCACAGCUAACAGGGCAAGAUGGGGCAUAUUGGCCGAGGGAAAGCAGAUAGGUGGGCAGACCUGUACCUGGGCUCUCCUGGCAAUGCAGCUGGGGGGGAGCACAGCCUGUUCCAGAUGUGGACAGCGUGACAGGGAAUUUCUGGGUUUGCACCCUGAAUUCAGCUUGCUGAAUUCUGCCGAACUCUGUGCCCAGACCCCCAACUCCUUAGACUAAACAAUUAAUGAACACCAUUAAGCAGCUCUGUUUGUAAUCUGGAAACAGUUUACAAACGCAUUGUGGCGGAAGGGUGUCAUGCAGAAUUGUGGACUUAAUGUGUUUUGGCAUAUGCAUUAAAAUUUCCCUUCAUUCCUCUGGUUUGGCACAAGAUGAACUGCACAGAAUGGAAGUGUCUAGCUUUUUUGGUGUGUGUGGAAGCUCUCAGCACAUCCUCUGCUGGUGGCCAGCUCAAGCAGCAGCUGCUGUGGUAGGAACUAUGUCUGAGCCCUGUCCACCAGCUCGUGGUUGUCUCUUGCAAAAGGGAUCGCAGCCCACCAGCAGCCCAAGAGACAUCUGGGGAGAAGGAAGCAUCCUGUCCAAAGCAUCUGCCUGGUUGUGCCAGGUGUAGGAGCACCGCUGGCCUCCCCACUGCCAGGCGGGUGGUGAUCUUCCCCACAGCUUCUGCAGCACUUCCAGUACCAUGGAACUUCCCCAGGUGUGCUGUAUCACCCAGAUCCUGUGAGUCACUCUGAUGCCGCUUUAACACCUUCACUCCUUUGCACCAAAGUGUUCCAGAAAGCAGAGGGUCUUGCCAGUGAAUUUUAUCCAAGCGUGGCACAGAAAACACAAAAGCUGUAAUUAUGUUUUGUUUUGUUUUCAAACGAUGCUAUGUACUUCAUGUAGUAUUAUAGGAGAUGCAUCCUAACAUCUGCAAUUCUUUCUGCUGCACCCCCUCAUUUGCAGUCCUUCAGGAAAUCUCUGCAGGGCGCAGGAGCUCCUUGGAUCCUCAUCUGCAAGGGACACAUCUUCAGCUUAGGCAUGAGACAGGGGUGAGGGUGCAGCCCAAGACUGCAGAGGACUAUUUCAGGCAGUCAUACACCAGCCCCUGCCAACCUGCCUGGUGCUAUUUGCCUUGCAGGGGAGAUUAACCACCCUUAGAGUUCCUUUAAGCCCAGUGUUGCUCAGGUCUGAACUCCGCCUUCUCACAGCAAAUCCAUCUCUAAGAAAAACCUGGGGAUAUCUGCAGGACAGGGUCUUAAAACCAAACAUCCCCAAGCAGCAAUGAGCUUGUCUUGGAGGAGGGCUUUAGAUCAUAGCACAGCAACCUGCUUCUGGACCCACCCUGCUCCAGCAUGAUGCUAUGCCGUGCCAGUUUGCUACUGAACACUGAUAACUCUGCAGGUUUGGGCUGUUUCUACUGCAUUUAGAAGUUCAAAAUAAAACAAUAAUAAAAGAGAGGCGAGGAAACUAAACAUGUGAUCGUGCCUGAGCCCAAACAAUUAAAAAAACCAAAAAACCCAAAACCAAUCCCAAGCCUCUGUUUUGUUGCUGACUGAAUAAUCUAAUUUUGACCAGAUGCACAUUGCCUGUUUCUUCAGAGUGAACUGAAUUUUACAGAAAAAGCACCAUCAUUUCACAAUUUGCUGAUGCAGUACCUCGAGCUCAUGCCAGAGC
ensembl:lncRNA